rnacentral:rRNA from 1 species
UGGGGAAUAUUGCACAAUGGGCGCAAGCCUGAUGCAGCCAUGCCGCGUGUAUGAAGAAGGCCUUCGGGUUGUAGAGUACUUUCAGUCGGGAGGAAGGUGGUAAGGUUAAUAACCUUACCAAUUGACGUUACCGACAGAAGAAGCACCGGCUAACUCCGUGCCAGCAGCCGCGGUAAUACGGAGGGUGCAAGCGUUAAUCGGAAUUACUGGGCGUAAAGCGCACGCAGGCGGUUGAUUGAGUCAGAUGUGAAAUCCCCGGGCUUAACCCGGGAAUUGCAUCUGAUACUGGGCAGCUAGAGUCUUGUAGAGGGGGGUAGAAUUCCAUGUGUAGCGGUGAAAUGCGUAGAGAUGUGGAGGAAUACCGGUGGCGAAGGCGGCCCCCUGGACAAAGACUGACGCUCAGGUGCGAAAGCGUGGGGAGCAAACAGG